rnacentral:rRNA from 1 species
UACGUAGGGGGCAAGCGUUGUCCGGAAUUAUUGGGCGUAAAGAGCGUGUAGGCGGUCCGGUAAGUCGGCUGUGAAAGUCCAGGGCUCAACCCUGGGAUGCCGGUCGAUACUGCCGGACUAGAGUUCGGAAGAGGCGAGUGGAAUUCCCGGUGUAGCGGUGAAAUGCGCAGAUAUCGGGAGGAACACCUAUGGCGAAGGCGGCUUCCUGGACCGAUUACUGACGCUGAGGCGCGAAAGCUAGGGGAGCAAACGGG